UGAUGUGACUGAAGGCAGAUAAAUCCGCAGGGCCAGAUUGUCUGCAUCCCAGAGUACUCAAGGAGGUGGCCCUAGAAAUCGUGAAUGCAUUGGUGAUCAUUUUCUAAUGUUCUCUCGACUCUGGAUCAGUUCCUGUGGACUGGAGGGU